rnacentral:rRNA from 1 species
UGGUAGUNCACGCCGUAAACGAUGAGUGCUAGGUGUUAGACCCUUUCCGGGGUUUAGUGCCGCAGCUAACGCAUUAAGCACUCCGCCUGGGGAGUACGACCGCAAGGUUGAAACUCAAAGGAAUUGACGGGGGCCCGCACAAGCGGUGGAGCAUGUGGUUAAAUUCGAAGCAACGCGAAGAACCUUACCAGGUCUUGACAUCCCUCUGACCGCUCUAGAGAUAGAGUUUUCCUUCGGGACAGAGGUGACAGGUGGUGCAUGGUUGUCGUCAGCUUGUGUCGUGAGAUGUUGGGUUAAGUCCCGCAACGAGCGCAACCCCUAUUGUUAGUUGUCAUCAUUCAGUUGGGCACUCUAGCGAGACUGCCGGUAAUAAACCGGAGGAAGGUGGGGAUGACGUCAAAUCAUCAUGCCCCUUAUGACCUGGGCUACACACGUGCUACAAUGGCUGGUACAACGAGUCGCAAGCCGGUGACGGCAAGCUAAUCUCUUAAAGCCAGUCUCAGUUCGGAUUGUAGGCUGCAACUCGCCUACAUGAAGUCGGAAUCGCUAGUAAUCGCGGAUCAGCACGCCGCGGUGAAUACGUUCCCGGGCCUUGUACACACCGCCCGUCACACCACGAGAGUUUGUAACACCCGAAGUCGGUGAGGUAACCAUUNGGA